UAGCAGCUGUAUCGGGCUUCCUCAUCCUGC
rnacentral:piRNA from 1 species